UACAGAGGUCUCAAGCGUUGUUCGGAUUCAUUGGGCGUAAAGGGAGCGUAGGUGGCGCCGUAAGUCAGGUGUGAAUCUCGGGGCUCAAACCCCGAAACGUGCACUUGACUAACUGCGGUGCUCGAGUACUGGAGAGGAGAUUGGAAUUUACGGUGUAGCAGUGAAAUGCGGUAGAUAUCGAUAAGGGAAGACCAGUGGCGAAGGCGAAAU
rnacentral:rRNA from 1 species